UGCCUUGGACACCAUGACAAAAUGUCUGAUGAUUAUUUAUCUAAAACCAAAGUGUGAAGAGAUUUUGUUAAAGCACCAUUUGUCAACCCCAGAAUAUCGCUGCAAUAUCAAUAUCGAGGUAGUUGGUCAAAUAUAUUGUGAUAUUGGAUUUU